UACGUAGGGUGCAAGCGUUAAUCGGAAUUACUGGGCGUAAAGCGUGCGCAGGCGGUUGUGUAAGACAGAUGUGAAAUCCCCCGGGCUCAACUGGGAACUGCAUUUGUGACUGCACAGCUGGAGUCCGGAAGAGGAGAGUGGAAUUCCUGGUGUAGCGGUGAAAUGCGCAGAUAUCAGGAAGAACACCCGUGGCGGAAGGCGGCUCUCUGGCCCAAUACUGACGCUGGAGGCGACGAAAGCCUAGGGGAGCAAACGGG
rnacentral:rRNA from 1 species